rnacentral:misc_RNA from 1 species
UUUUAUUUUUAAUUAAUGAAAUAUCUUUCCUUUUUAUAAAAAAAUAAGUUGUUAUAAUUUAUAUAUUAUUUCCUUGUCAAUCUUGACAAAUCUUAUAGAGUUAUAGAUUCUGAAGCAAACAAACAUAUAACAAGCUCUUCAAAUAAAUUAUCUGCCUAUGCUCCAUGCUCAGGAAAAGAAAAGUUCCAUAAAGCAGACGAUUCCUUAACCACAAUUUCUUAUAUAAGUUUUGUUACGUGCACUGCCAAUAUAAAUAUCACUUCCGUUCUUAAUGAUACCAACUUUUUUAUUAAUCUUUUAUCUAUAAAUUCUAUUACCCAAGCCCUUAAUUGCAAAAUUGAAUUU